rnacentral:rRNA from 1 species
CCUACGGGAGGCAGCAGUAAGGAAUAUUGGACAAUGCUCGCAAGAGUGAUCCAGCCAUGCCGCGUGCAGGAAGACGGCCCUAUGGGUUGUAAACUGCUUUUGAACUAGAGAAAACCCUCCUACGUGUAGGAGGCUGAUAGUAUAGUUAGAAUAAGCAUCGGCUAACUUCGUGCCAGCAGCCGCGGUAAGACGAAGGAUGCAAGCGUUAUCCGGAUUCAUUGGGUUUAAAGGGAGCGUAGGUGGACUGAUAAGUCAGUGGUGAAAUCUCUCGGCUUAACCGAGAAAUUGCCAUUGAUACUGUUGGUCUUGAGUACAGUUGCUGUGGGCGGAAUAUGACAUGUAGUGGUGAAAUACAUAGAGAUGUCAUAGAACACCGAUUGCGAAGGCAGCUCACAAAGCUGUAACUGACACUGAGGCUCGAAAGUGCGGGGAUCAAACAGGAUUAGAUACCCUGGUAGUCCGCACCGUAAACGAUGAUUACUCGCUGCUGGGAGGUAACUUUCAGUGGCUUAGCGAAAGCGAUAAGUAAUCCACCUGGGGAGUACGCCGGCAACGGUGAAACGUCAAAGGAAUUAGACGG